GUCGAACGAGAGUAGAUCGGUGCUUGCACUGAUCCGAUCGAGUGGCGGACGGGUGAGUAACGCGUGGGUAACCUGCCUCAUACAGGGGAAUAACAGUUGGAAACGGCUGCUAAAACCGCAUAAGCGCACAGUAUCGCAUGAUACAGUGUGAAAAACUCCGGUGGUAUGAGAUGGACCCGCGUCUGAUUAGCUAGUUGGUGAGGUAACGGCCCACCAAGGCAACGAUCAGUAGCCGGCCUGAGAGGGUGAACGGCCACAUUGGGACUGAGACACGGCCCAAACUCCUACGGGAGGCAGCAGUGGGGAAUAUUGCACAAUGGGCGAAAGCCUGAUGCAGCGACGCCGCGUGAGUGAUGAAGUAUUUCGGUAUGUAAAGCUCUAUCAGCAGGGAAGAUAAUGACGGUACCUGACUAAGAAGCACCGGCUAAAUACGUGCCCGCAGCCGCGGUAAUACGUAUGGUGCAAGCGUUAUCCGGAUUUACUGGGUGUAAAGGGUGCGUAGGUGGUGAGACAAGUCUGAAGUGAAAAUCCGGGGCUUAACCCCGGAACUGCUUUGGAAACUGCCUGACUAGAGUACAGGAGAGGUAAGUGGAAUUCCUAGUGUAGCGGUGAAAUGCGUAGAUAUUAGGAGGAACACCAGUGGCGAAGGCGGCUUACUGGACGAUAACUGACGCUGAGGCUCGAAAGCGUGGGGAGCAAACAG
rnacentral:rRNA from 1 species